rnacentral:rRNA from 1 species
UACGUAGGGUGCAAGCGUUGUCCGGAAUUAUUGGGCGUAAAGAGCUCGUAGGCGGUCUGUCGCGUCUGCUGUGAAAACUCAGGGCUUAACCCUGAGCUUGCAGUGGGUACGGGCAGACUAGAGUGCGGUAGGGAGAUCGGAAUUCCUGGUGUAGCGGUGAAAUGCGCAGAUAUCAGGAGGAACACCGGUGGCGAAGGCGGAUCUCUGGGCCUUACCUGACGCUGAGGCGCGAAAGCUAGGGGAGCGAACAGG